AUACUUACCUGGACGAGGUCGAUGGGUGAUCAAAAAGGCCCAUGGCCUAGGGUAGCGACCUCCAUUGCACUUGGGAGGGGUGCUAUCCUAAGUUCUACCCAAGUGGUGGAGUCUACGUCAUAAUUUGUGACAGCGGAGGCCUGCGUUCGCGCAGCCUCUA